rnacentral:rRNA from 1 species
UACGUAGGUGGCAAGCGUUGUCCGGAUUUAUUGGGUUUAAAGGGUGCGUAGGCGGUCCUAUAAGUCAGUGCUGAAAUAUCCCGGCUUAACCGGGAGGGUGGCAUUGAUACUGCAGGACUUGAGUGAAGUCGAGGUAGGCGGAAUUGACGGUGUAGCGGUGAAAUGCUUAGAUAUCGUCAAGAACACCGAUAGUGUAGACAGCUUACUAAGCUUUAACUGACGCUGAGGCACGAAAGUGUGGGGAUCAAACAGG